UGCCAUUCUGCACCCAUCCACUCUUCCUCCAGCAAUUGUGAAGCAAUUUGUAUUCACAAUGAAGCAAGCUUCCUUCUCCGUCCUCUUUCUUGCCGCUCUCUUGCUGCUCUCUGUGGCUUCGGCAAACGAAAAGCAGGCGACAGGCGAUCUUCUUUGUGGAGUCAGUUGCCACAAUGGCCGAUGCUGCGGAUAUGGUGAGAGCUGCUGCUCCGGCACUGGAUGCUGCCGAUCAGGUCAGAGAUGCUGCGGCCAUCUUCUUUGCUGCAAUGUUGAGGAGUAUACUGCGUUCGUGAAUGCUCACGCUGUCCCUAGCAGGAUAGCAUCCAUUGCAAACUGAAAGCUUCUCAUUUCUGAUCUGUUAUCGUCUUCAUCAGGAUGAUAGCAGUAACUUAUGGUGCAUCUAAAUAAUAAAGCCAGCGCAUGCUUAUUGUCUGCUGGGACAGCUUGCAUGCAGGGUGCGCCCCUUCCUAGUUCUUCUUCCUGUUAGCAACAAGCAGUGUUUGCUUCUAUCGUGUUUCCUUGUGCUAUGAAAUAAAA